AGUGAACGCUGGCGGUAGGCCUAACACAUGCCAGUCGAACGGCAGCACAGUAAGAGCUUGCUCUUACGGGUGGCGAGUGGCGGACGGGUGAGGAAUACAUCGGAAUCUACUUUUUCGUGGGGGAUAACGUAGGGAAACUUACGCUAAUACCGCAUACGACCUACGGGUGAAAGCAGGGGAUCUUCGGACCUUGCGCGAUUGAAUGAGCCGAUGUCGGAUUAGCUAGUUGGCGGGGUAAAGGCCCGCCAAGGCGACGAUCCGUAGCUGGUCUGAGAGGAUGAUCAGCCACACUGGAACUGAGACACGGUCCAGACUCCUACGGGAGGCAGCAGUGGGGAAUAUUGGACAAUGGGCGCAGGCCUGAUCCAGCCAUACCGCGUGGGUGAAGAAGGCCUUCGGGUUGUAAAGCCCUUUUGUUGGGAAAGAAAAGCAGCAGGUUAAUACCCCGCUGUUCUGACGGUACCCAAAGAAUAAGCACCGGCUAACUUCGUG
rnacentral:rRNA from 1 species